rnacentral:misc_RNA from 1 species
AAGUCGUAACAAGGUUUCCGUAGGUGAACCUGCGGAAGGAUCAUUAUCGAAACGAAUGGAAUGGGGGGAGCAAGACGGCAAAGCAAAAGACUGUCGCUGGCUAGAUUCAUUUCUGGCAUGUGCACGUCCUUGCUUUUUUCGUCGACCUUUCUCUUUCUUUCUUUCACACCUGUGCACCCGUUGUAGGUCCUCGAAAGAGGAUCUAUGUUCUCUAACACACCCGAUCGUCGUAUGUCCAUAGAAUGUAACGAAUAAAAUACAA